GCCAGCACAGAGCCGAGUGGAGGAAAAGACAGGCACAGGGAAUUUGCACCAGGGACACGAGCUAGAACUGUUUCUGCACCAGACUGAAGUUACCACUGUCCAAGUCUGCACUGUGUGCUGGCAAAUAGUCCCACUUCUUGCUGCACAGGCCCCUGCAGCUCUGCCAUGUUAAGCCCUGGCCCUUUCUCUGCCCGUGUGGUCAUAGAAGUCAUCCUCCCACCGUCUCCAGACCUGUCCAGGUAAGCAUUCCAAUAUCAUGUGCGAGACAGCUCACAAAAUAAGAAAAUACAAAUGACUGAAAUGUGAUUUGCUCAGCCUCACGCAACUGAGAUUCAGUAUGUCACCAAUCAGAGAGUCAGAGAGUAAAAAGGUUGCCAGCA
rnacentral:lncRNA from 1 species